rnacentral:miRNA from 1 species
AUGUGGAGAAGGCUGCAAC